AACCUCCGCAAUGUGAGAAAUCGCGACGGGGGGAUCCCAAGUGCCAUUCUUAACGGGAUGGCUUUUCAUUAGUGUAAAGAGCUUUUGGAAUAAGGGCUGGGCAAGACCGGUGCCAGCCGCCGCGGUAACACCGGCAGCUCUAGUGGUAGCAGUUUUUAUUGGGCCUAAAGCGUCCGUAGCCGGUUUAAUAAGUCUCUGGUGAAAUCCUGUAGCUUAACUGUGGGAAUUGCUGGAGAUACUAUUAGACUUGAGACCGGGAGAGGUUAGAGGUACUCCCAGGGUAGAGGUGAAAUUCUGUAAUCCUGGGAGGACCGCCUGUUGCGAAGGCGUCUAACUGGAACGGUUCUGACGGUGAGGGACGAAAGUUAGGGGCGCGAACCGGAUUAGAUACCCGGGUAGUCCUAACUGUAACGAUGCGGACUUGGUGUUGGGGUGGCUUUGAGCUGUCUCAGUGCCGAAGGGAAGCUGUUAAGUCCGCCGCCUGGGAAGUACGGUCGCAAGACUGAAACUUAAAGGAAGU
rnacentral:rRNA from 1 species